rnacentral:tRNA from 1 species
GCCGAAGUGGCGGAAUUGGUAGACGCCCGCGACUUAGGAUCGCGUGCCUUCGGGUGUGGGGGUUCGAGUCCCCCCUUCGGCAC